rnacentral:rRNA from 1 species
GGAGUUAGCCGGUGCUUCUUCUGUGAGUGAUGUCCUUCCUGCCGGCUAUUAACCCGCAGGCCUUCUUCCUCACUGAAAGUGCUUUACAACCCGAAGGCCUUCUUCACACACGCGGCAUGGCUGGAUCAGGGUUGCCCCCAUUGUCCAAUAUUCCCCACUGCUGCCUCCCGUAGGAGUCUGGGCCGUGUCUCAGUCCCAGUGUGGCUGAUCAUCCUCUCAGACCAGCUACGGAUCGUCGCCUUGGUGAGCCGUUACCUCACCAACCAGCUAAUCCGACAUAGGCUCAUCCGAUAGCGCGAGGCCCGAAGGUCCCCCGNUUUCCCCCGUAGGGCGUAUGCGGUAUUAGCCUGGGUUUCCCCAGGUUAUCCCCCACUACCGGGCAGAUUCCUAUGCAUUACUCACCCGUCCGCCGCUCGCCACCAGGGAGCAAGCUCCCCGUGCUGCCGCUCGACUUGCAUGUGUAGCNCGCCGCCACGCGUCAUCUGACGACCGACGAACGUACCGAACCCGUACGACGUACGAGGCGGGCGUCGGACGACGGACGCGAGUA